GGGUUUUGAAGAAUGAGCAGAAGCUCUGCGUCAGAUGAAGAAGAGACAGGAGGCCCUCCAAGCAAAGGAACCACUCAUGUCAAGACAUGGGGCAAAAAGAGAGGAUGUAUUUGGAGAACAGAGAGUAACCGAAGGCUAUCAUUCAAUCAGUGAUAGUCUUCAUGGAGGCUGAGACUUCAACCACAGGACCUGGGUGGUGAUCACCACAAAAUUUCUUCCUGAACGUUCUUCUCCAACAACUUCUCACAUUCAGUUAUUCAUUCAACAAACAUUGAGCAACAACCUAAUCUUCUGGGCUCUGGAGACCGAGUUAAAAAGGAGACAGCAGGCCCCUGCCCCCGCUUCCCGACAGGUCACCACAUCUUGAGUGCUAAGACUGUCAUCACAGGGUGAGGAGGGGAAAUGAGCUCAGAGGGGCAGAACCUUCUGAAAGGGCAGAAUGGUUCAAGCAUCCCGCCAAGGUCAGAAGGCGCUGGAUCCAGGGCAAAAAUGAAGACAUAAGGGACCUUAGGUGACAAGGAAGAAGCUCCCAGGCAGCAUGUGGGAUGGACCCAAGGAGAACGUCAGAGAGAAAGAGUUCAGUCUGGUGUCUCCUGAAGCAGGUGGCAGCAUGCUGACGAAGGAGGGUGGGGUACGCAAGGAACUGGUUGCCUCUAGGACUCGCGACAAGACCUUACGGAGAAAGAAGUCAGCCAAGGAAAAACGACUGGAGUGUGGAAGAGUCUGGAAGAGCUGGACCAGGUCCACAUGGUCCGGUCAGUUCUCGAAAAAUCGAGACCCUGUGUGGUGAGGGUGAGCCAUCUUAGCAGGAAGGUUAAAAUUAAGCUCGGCAGGCUCGACGUAAAUGUGCAGACAAAGCAAAGCAGGAAGCCUCCCACACUAAAAAGGGAAGAUAAGAAUCACAGAAGCUGGGAUGGUUUUUAUUGAAGGGCAUUUCAAAGCAAAUACAGACAUCUACAGCAUAUUUGUAAAUCCUCCGUAUGUGUAUGGAAACACACACCUUCACACAUCAAAACUGGAUUUGUUCCUGAGUAACAAAACGUCCUAAGAACAAAAUGAAAGAAAACCAAAUAGCAGAAAAAUACUUCCAAUGUAUAUACCACAAAGGAUUAUUUAUCAACUCAACACACCAAGAGUUAAGAAAAUAAUGCAACAGGAACAAAGGGCAAAGGAUAUGUACUGGGAAGACCACAGAGAAAGAAAAUGCAAAUGGCUAAUAAUAUAAAAUAUUUCCUAGGUUCAAUAGUAAUCAGGGAAAGACAAAAUUACACUUUUGACCUCUUAGACUGGCAGUGACAAAGAUUAUUUGAGUGACCAAGCUUUAGUCAGGCUCCUGGAUCUUCUAGGCCCAUCUGGGCACUUCCUCGUAAAAUACAGUUUUAACAAAAGCCCUGCUAAAUUGGUUUACCGAGAACUCCCACCCUCAAUCGAGUUCCUUAGCCCUUCACCUUUCCUCAGGUGAGGGCUGAUCAUCCUGUCCUGUCUUCAGCAAGACUGCUCUAACGCUGACGUUUCCUUUUAGUAAUUUUCCAUCCACUGACACCCACUUGUAAUUUAUAGCCAAGGAGCAAGAUACACUGCUCCUUGGCUAUAAGUUAUUUUCCCUGUUACAUUCAGAGUUGAGCCCAAUCCCACUCCCCGACUACAAAAUCGAUAGCAGUGGUCCCUAUACCUAUUGCAAUGGUCCUAAAUAAAACCUGCCUUACCGUGCUUGAACAAGUGUCAUCGAAUAAUUUUUUAACAGCAAAUUGUUGGAGGUAAAGACAUUUUUAAAUGUCUUCAAUUAGUUUAGCUACUUCCACGUAAUGUUAAAAUCUCCAUCAAUUGGCUAGUUACUGUCCCUUCCUGAGAAGAAGCAGACACCAUAGCCCUGCAUACUGUGGAUUCACUCCUAAGUUGAUAUUGAUAUGAAUGAAAUAGUUAUCUCCC
rnacentral:lncRNA from 10 species